GAUUUCUGGUACGGCGCACUUGGCCCACCUCGGUUACGGGGUUUGUGUGCCGGUGUGCGCCUGCCAUCCUUCUGGAGAACGUUUCUACCCUUUACUGGGUUGGGAACGGUAUCCAGAUCUUUUACUUUGAAAAAAUUAGAGUGUUUAAAGCAGGCUUGCGCUAUGAAUACAUUAGCAUGGAAUAAUAAUUUAGGACUUUGGUCUUAUUUUGUUGGUUUCUAGGACUAAAGUAAUGAUUGAUAGGGACAGUUGGGGGUGCUAGUAUUCAGCGGCCAGAGGUGAAAUUCUUGGAUUCGCUGAAGACUAACUUAUGCGAAAGCAUU
rnacentral:rRNA from 1 species